GCGAGUGUGGCCGAGUGGUCUAAGGCGGUCGACUUAAGUACCUUGCAGUAUUAAUACUCGACUGGGCAAUCGCCCUCGCGCGUUCGAACCGCGUCGCUCGCA
rfam:Penicillium oxalicum 114-2 unplaced genomic scaffold scaffold_4, whole genome shotgun sequence.